rnacentral:rRNA from 1 species
AUACGUAGGGGGCGAGCGUUGUCCGGAAUGAUUGGGCGUAAGGGCGCGUAGGCAGCCUGUUAAGUCUGGAGUGAAAGUCCUGUUUUCAAGAUGGGAAUUGCUUUGGAUACUGAUGGGCUUGAGUGCAGGAGAGGUUAUCGGAAUUCCCGGUGUAGCGGUGAAAUGCGUAGAGAUCGGGAGGAACACCAGUGGCGAAGGCGGGUAACUGGACUGCAACUGACGCUGAGGCGCGAAAGUGUGGGGAGCAAACAGGAUUAGAUACCCUGGUAGUCCACACUGUAAACGAUGAAUGCUAGGUGUAAGAGGUAUCGACCCCUUUUGUGCCGGAGUUAACACAAUAAGCAUUCCGCCUGGGGAGUACGGCCGCAAGGUUGAAACUCAAAGGAAUUGACGGGG